UACGUAGGGUGCAAGCGUUAAUCGGAAUUACUGGGCGUAAAGCGUGCGCAGGCGGUUUUGUAAGUCUGACGUGAAAUCCCCGGGCUCAACCCUGGACAGGCGGUGGAAACUACCAAGCUGGAGUACGGUAGGGGCAGGAGGGAAUUUCCGGUGGAGCGGUGAAAUGACGUAGAGAUCGGAAAGAACACCAACGGCGAAAGCACUCUGCUGGGCCGACACUGACACUGAGAGACGAAAAGCUAGGGGGAGCGAAUGGG
rnacentral:rRNA from 1 species